rnacentral:misc_RNA from 1 species
GAUGAAGAACGUAGCGAAAUGCGAUAAGUAAUGUGAAUUGCAGAAUUCCGUGAAUCAUCGAAUCUUUGAACGCACAUUGCGCCCCCUGGCAUUCCGAGGGGCAUGCCUGUCCGAGCGUCAUUUCUGCCCUCCAGCCCGGCUGGGUGUUGGGCGCUGUCCCCCCGGGGACACGCCCCAAAGGCAGUGGCGGCGCCGCGUCGGGUCCUCGAGCGUAUGGGGCUUUGUCACCCGCUCGGGACGGACUCGUCGGCGCUGGUCUUCCUCCAGGCGACCCUUCGGGGCUCGUCUUCCUUCGGUUGACCUCGGAUCAGGUAGGGUUACCCGCUGAACUUAAGCAUAUCAAUAAGCGGAGGA